rnacentral:rRNA from 1 species
UGAACGGGUGAGUAACGUGUGGGUAACCUGCCUUAUAGCGGGGGAUAACUAUUGGAAACGAUAGCUAAUACCGCAUAACAAUAGAGAUUGCAUAAUCUUUAUUUGAAAGUGCCAACUGGUACACUAUGAGAUGGACCCGCGUUGUAUUAGCUAGUUGGUAGUGUAAUGGACUACCAAGGCGAUGAUACAUAGCCGACCUGAGAGGGUGAUCGGCCACAUUGGGACUGAGACACGGCCCAAACUCCUACGGGAGGCAGCAGUAGGGAAUCUUCGGCAAUGGACGAAAGUCUGACCGAGCAACGCCGCGUGAGUGAAGAAGGUUUUCGGAUCGUAAAACUCUGUUGUUAGAGAAGAAUGUUGAUUAGAGUGGAGAAUUAAUCAAGUGACGGGAUCUAACCAGAAAGGGACGGCUAACUACGUGCCAGCAGCCGCGGUAAUACGUAGGUCCCGAGCGUUGUCCGAAUUUAUUGGGCGUAAAGCGAGCGCAGGUGGUUUAAUAAGUCUGAUGUAAAAGGCAGUGGCUCAACCAUUGUGUGCAUUGGAAACUGUUAGACUUGAGUGCAGUAGAGGAGAGUGGAAUUCCAUGUGUAGCGGUGAAAUGCGUAGAUAUAUGGAGGAACACCGGUGGCGAAAGCGGCUCUCUGGACUGUCACUGACACUGAGGCUCGAAAGCGUGGGUAGCAAACAGGAUUAGAUACCCUGGUAGUCCACGCCGUAAACGAUGAGUGCUAGUUGUUUGGGGCUAUCCAGCCCUAAGUGACGCAGCAAACGCAUUAAGCACUCCGCCUGGGGAGUACGACCGCAAGGUUGAAACUCAAAGGAAUUGACGGGGGCCCGCACAAGCGGUGGAGCAUGUGGUUUAAUUCGAAGCAACGCGAAGAACCUUACCAGGUCUUGACAUACUCGUGCUA